rnacentral:rRNA from 1 species
GAGGAUCAUUAGUGAAUAUAGGACGUCCAACUUAACUUGGAGUCCGAACUCUCACUUUCUAACCCUGUGCACUUGUUUGGGAUAGUAACUCUCGCAAGAGAGCGAACUCCUAUUCACUUAUAAACACAAAGUCUAUGAAUGUAUUAAAUUUUAUAACAAAAUAAAACUUUCAACAACGGAUCUCUUGGCUCUCGCAUCAAUGAAGAACGCAGCGAAAUGCGAUAAGUAAUGUGAAUUGCAGAAUUCAGUGAAUCAUCGAAUCUUUGAACGCACCUUGCGCUCCAUGGUAUUCCGUGGAGCAUGCCUGUUUGAGUGUCAUGAAUACUUCAACCCUCCUCUUUCUUAAUGAUUGAAGAGGUGUUUGGUUUCUGAGCGCUGCUGGCCUUUACGGUCUAGCUCGUUCGUAAUGCAUUAGCAUCCGCAAUCGAACUUCGGAUUGACUUGGCGUAAUAGACUAUUCGCUGAGGAAUUCUAGUCUUCGGACUAGAGCCGGGUUGGGUUAAAGGAAGCUUCUAAUCAGAAUGUCUACAUUUUAAGAUUAGAUCUCAAAUCAGGUAGGACUACCCGCUGAACUUAAGCAUAUCAAUAAGCGGAGGAA